rnacentral:rRNA from 1 species
GGGUGUAAAGGGUACGUAGGCUGCUUUUAAGUCUUAAUCAAAGAAGCUAAGCUUAACUUAGAAAUUGAUUUUGAUACUGUUAAGCUUGAGGUCAAUAUAGGUUAGUUAUAUUCUUGAAGUAAAGUAAAUCUUUAGAUAUCGAGAGGAUAACCGAGUGGUUAAUGCGACUUUCUGGAUUGAUGCUGACGCUGAGGUACGAAGGCAUGGGCAUCAAACGGGAUUAGAGACCCCGGUAGUCCAUGCAGUAAAUCAAGAAUGCUAUGAGAUUGUCCCUGCUUUAUAUAUAGGGUUCAGGUCUAUGAGCUAACGCGAAAGCAUUCCGCCUGGGUACUACAGUCGCAAAGGUUGAAACU